rnacentral:rRNA from 1 species
AACGAACGCUGGCGGCAGGCUUAACACAUGCAAGUCGAGCGCCCCGCACGGGGAGCGGCAGACGGGUGCGUAACGCGUGGGAAUCUACCCAUCUCUACGGAAUAACGCCUGGAAACGUGUGCUAAUACCGUAUACGUCCUUCGGGAGAAAGAUUUAUCGGAGAUGGAUGAUCCCGCGUUGGCUUAGCUAGUUGGUGGGGUAAAGGCCUAACAAGGCGACGAUCCAUAGCUGGUCUGAGAGGAUGAUCAGCCACACUGGGACUGAGACAAGUGCCAGCCUCCUACGUGAGGAAUCAGUUGGGAAUAUUGGACAAUAGGCGCAAGCCUGAUCCAGCCAUGUCGCGUGAGUGAUGAAGGCCCUAGGGUUGUAAAGCUCUUUUACCGGUGAAGAUAAUGACGGUAACCGGAGAAGCAGCCCCGGCUAACUUCGUGCCAGCCGCCGCAGUAAAAC